UCCCGUUGAUCCUGCGGGAGGUUACUGCUAUUGGAAUUCUACUUAGACAUGCAAGUCAAGGGUUUUUCGGAACCCUGGCGUAAGGCUCAGUAACACGUCGAUAAUCUAACUUAUGGUCUGGGAUAACCUCGAGAAAUUGAGGACAAACCUGGAUAGAAGAUAAAUAUUGGAAUAUUUUAUCUUUGAAAGGAAACGCCAUAAGAUGAGUCGGCGGCUGAUUAGGUUGUUGGUGAGGUAAAGGCUCACCAAGCCAAAGAUCAGUAGGGGGGAUGAGAGUCCUAGCCCCGAGAAGGGCACUGAGAAAAGGGCCCUAGCCCUAAGGGGUGCAGCAGUUAGGAAAACUUUACAAUGCGCGAAAGCGUGAUAAGGGAAUUCCAAGUGCUUAUCCUCUGGAUAGGCUUUUGUUAUGUGUAGGAACCAUGACGAAUAAGUGGUGGGAAAUACUGGUGCCAGCAGCCGCGGUAAUACCAGAGCCACGAGUGGUAACCAUAUUUAUUGGGCCUAAAGCGUUCGUAGCCGAUUCAAUAAAUCUUUUGUGAAAUUGUUGGGCUUAACUUAACAAUGUGCAAGAGAGACUGUUGGGUUAGGGACCGGGAAGAGCUAGAGGUAUUCCUUGGGGAGCGGUAAAAUGUUAUAAUCCUUGGAAGACCACCAAUGGCGAAGGCAUCUAGCUAGAACGGGUCCGACGGUGAGGGACGAAGGCUAAGGUAGCGAUCCGGAUUAGAUACCCGAGUAGUCUUAGCUGUAAACGCUGUGAACUGUGUGUUGCAUAUUUUUCGUAAAUAUGCAGUGCCGUAGCGAAGGUGUUAAGUUCACCGCCUGGGAAGUAUGGUCGCAAGACUGAAACUUUAAGGAAUUGGCGGGGGCGCGCUACAAGGAGUGCGGCGUGCGGUUUAAUCUAAUUACACACAGAAAAUCUUACCAGCAGCGACGGCAAGAUGAAGGUCAGAUUGAAGGUUUUACCUGAUGAGCCGAGAGAUGUUGCAUGGUCGACGUCAGUUCGUGUCGUAAGAUGUCACGUUAAGUCGUGCAACGAACAAGACCUAUAUUUAUAGUUGCUAUCGACCAUUUUUGGAAUCGAGCACACUAUAGAGACUGCCCGGGUAACUGGGAGGAAGGUGUAGGCAACGUUAGAUCUGUAUGGCUCGAAUCUGCUGGGAUACACGCGCGCAACAAUGGUAGAGACAGAGGGAUACGACUCCGAAAGGAGAAGUUAAUCUCUAAACUCUAUCUUAGUUCAGAUUGAGGACUGUAACUCGUUCUCAUGACGUUGGAAUUCCUAGUAAUCGUCUGUCAAAAGCAAACGGUGAAUACGUCAACGUGCCUUGCACACACUGCCCGUCAUCUCAACCGAGCAGGGUUCGGAUGAGACUUAAUCUUUGAUUAAAGCGAAUCCAGAUUCAGUAAGGUGGGGCAAGUCGUCACAAGGUA
rnacentral:rRNA from 1 species